rnacentral:rRNA from 1 species
UGGGGAAUAUUGGACAAUGGGCGAAAGCCUGAUCCAGCCAUGCCGCGUGAGUGAUGAAGGCCCUAGGGUUGUAAAGCUCUUUUGUGCGGGAAGAUAAUGACGGUACCGCAAGAAUAAGCCCCGGCUAACUUCGUGCCAGCAGCCGCGGUAAUACGAAGGGGGCUAGCGUUGCUCGGAAUCACUGGGCGUAAAGGGUGCGUAGGCGGGUUUCUAAGUCAGAGGUGAAAGCCUGGAGCUCAACUCCAGAGCUGCCUUCGAUACUGGGAGUCUUGAGUUCGGGAGAGGUGAGUGGAACUGCGAGUGUAGAGGUGAAAUUCGUAGAUAUUCGCAAGAACACCAGUGGCGAAGGCGGCUCACUGGCCCGAUACUGACGCUGAGGUGCGAAAGCGUGGGGAGCAAACA